rnacentral:lncRNA from 1 species
CCGCCCUGGUCCCAGAAGCGCCCCUGCCCGCGGGCGUGGGCAGCCCCAUGAGCCGGGGCGCUUGGUCGGGUCAUCCGCAGAGGCCGGGCGCGUGCAGCAGGACGGGCGGCUGAGCUACGCCGACCCCGUGUGGUUCCUCAUCUCCGAGGGAGGACAAGACGACGCCCACCAGAGCUGCCGGCUGGACGCCAUGGGCAUUCGGCCGCUGCCCUUCGAGGACUGCGUGUGCCAGGAUGGCGACGGCCAGGGCCCCGAGCUCUCCGACUGGGAGCGGUUCGCCGCCGAGGAGUACGAGCGUCCUGGUGGCCGAGGAGGGCGGCGGCGACGCGUGGGAGGACGGGUCCGAGGAGGCGGCGCUGAGCCCCGUGGAGGCGGAGCAGAGGCCGCUGUUCGGGGCGGGACCGGCCUGGGCGCCCUGCGCCUGUGGGAGCUGCCGUGCGCGGAGGCCGAGCUGCAGCCGCUGUGACACUGCCCGCCCGCCCUGGCCCGCACCCAUGGUCACGGGGCGCGGCGGGGACCGCCUGGGCGUGGCGGCGGGCGGCUCGACGUUUGUGUUGAGAAUAAAGAGUUG